rnacentral:rRNA from 1 species
UACGGGGGGCGCAAGCGUUGUUCGGAUUUACUGGGCGUAAAGGGCGCGUAGGCGGCCACCGCAAGUCAAUUGGGAAAUCUCCGGGCUUAACUCGGAAAGGUCAACUGAUACUGCGGGGCUAGAGUGCGGAAGGGGCAACUGGAAUUCUCGGUGUAGCGGUGAAAUGCGUAGAUAUCGAGAGGAACACCUGCGGCGAAGGCGGGUUGCUGGGCCGACACUGACGCUGAGGCGCGAAAGCCAGGGGAGCGAACGGG